rnacentral:rRNA from 1 species
CCUACGGGUGGCUGCAGUGAGGAAUAUUGGUCAAUGGACGAGAGUCUGAACCAGCCAAGUAGCGUGAAGGAUGACUGCCCUAUGGGUUGUAAACUUCUUUUAUAUGGGAAUAAAAUGUUCCACGUGUGCCUUUUUGUAUGUACUUUAUGAAUAAGGAUCGGCUAACUCCGUGCCAGCAGCCGCGGUAAUACGGAGGAUCCGAGCGUUAUCCGGAUUUAUUGGGUUUAAAGGGAGCGUAGAUGGGUUGUUAAGUCAGUUGUGAAAGUUUGCGGCUCAACCGUAAAAUUGCAAUGGAUACUGGCAGUCUUGAGUACAGUUGAGGUAGGCGGAAUUCGUGGUGUAGCGGUGAGAUGCUUAGAUAUCACGAAGAACUCCGAUUGCGAAGGCAGCUUACUAAACUGCCACUGACAUUGAUGCUCGAAAGUGUGGGUAUCAAACAGGAUUAGAUACCCUUGUAGUC